rnacentral:lncRNA from 13 species
AUGCACCACGGCCCUGUGCUACCUUGCAGAACCCCUACAACCCCCACACUCUGUCCUCAGCUCCAUCCAACACAGAGAGACCCUGGAGAACAGGCUGGUCGACUGGUGAGGAGGAGGACAUUAUGUUGCACAGUGGAGCUGAUUUGGAUUUGCCCUAUUGACAGUAUGUGGUCUCUGCAAGUGUCCCUGGCAGAAACCAUAGCUCUGAUGCUGGGACAGAGAGAGGGACAGGAGAGACCUGUAACACCAGCCAAGGCUCAGGACCCUUCACCGCAGGAGUGUUAGUCCUGGGCCCCCCAGCAGAGGCUUGUCCCCCUUGGGCACCCCACAGGCCUUGGAGCAGGGGACCCUACAGCAGUCAUCAAGAGAGCCUCAGCCACCUGAUCCCCACACCUUUACACCUUCAGGUCUGAUAACAUAGCCGCUGUAUCUCCGUUACACAAGCACACUCUGCACAUUCUAUCUGCAGUUAUAGUAUGAGUAAUUGAGUGGUCCAUGACUAGGGCCCAGACCUGAUAAGGGGAAACGCUGGGCCCUAGUUAUAGGCUUGGACCAGAGUCACAAUGAGAUGCUGAACAUUUCUGUUCCUCUUUGAUCUCAGAGCCGGAGCCAGUAGUGACCCCUGUCACCACUCCAGUCCCCUGCUGGCCCCUGGGGAGAUGCUUCACAGCCCUGGCUGAGGAGCAACCCCACAGCCCUGCAGAGGAUCAACCCCACAGCCCUGGCUAAGGAGCAACCCCACAGCCCUGCAGAGGAGCAACCCCACAGCCCUGCAGAGGAGCAACCCCACAGCCCUGCAGAGGAUCAACCCCACAGCCCUGCG